rnacentral:rRNA from 1 species
UACGUAGGGGGGCAAGCGUUGUCCGGAUUUAUUUGGGCGUAAAGAGCGUGUAGGCGGCCUGGAAGGUCAGCUGUGAAAACUCGAGGCUCAACCUCGAGACGUCGGUUGAAACCACCUGGCUAGAGUCCGGAAGAGGAGAGUGGAAUUCCCGGUGUAGCGGUGAAAUGCGCAGAUAUCGGGAAGAACACCCGUGGCGAAGGCGGCUCUCUGGGACGGUACUGACGCUGAGACGCGAAAGCGUGGGGAGCGAACAGG